rnacentral:rRNA from 1 species
GACGAACGCUGGCGGCGUGCUUAACACAUGCAAGUCGAACGGAAAGGCCCGGCUUUUGUGGGGUGCUCGUGUGGCGAACGGGUGAGUAACACGUGAGUAACCUGCCCUUGACUUUGGGAUAACUUCAGGAAACUGGGGCUAAUACCGGAUAGGAGCUCCUGCUGCGUGGUGGGGGUUGGAGAGUUUCGGCGGUUGGGGAUGUACUCGCGGCUUAUCAGCCUGUUUGUGGGGUAGUGGCUUACCAAGGCUUUGGCGGGUAGCCCGCCUGAGAGGGUGAACGGAGACCAUGGGCAUGAGGUAGCGCGCAGCAUCCUACGGGAGGCAGCAGUGGGGAAUGUAGCGCGAUGGGAGGAAGCCUGACGCAACGACGCGGGGUGCGGGACGACGGCCUACGGGUUGUAACCCGCUUUCGCCUGUGACGAAGGCUGAGUGACGGUAAUGGGUAAGGACGCACCGGCUAACUACGUG